CCACUGCUUUGUUUCAGCAGGGAUGGUGGUAGCAGGCUGCUACCUGCCAGGCUGUGUGUGCAGGGGAUAUGUGGGAAACCUCUGUUCCUUCCUCUCAAUUUUGCUCUGAAUCUAAAACCCUGCUUAAAAAAGUCAAUUCUUAAAAAAAACAGGAUGGAGACAAACCUUUCAGAUACAAUACAUGAACUUGGGUUCAAAAACAGUAAGAAAACUCUCUCCGGGGCAAUUACAGAAAUUAGCAAGUCAAGAAGGGUGACCAAGUUGUUCACCUUUUAGUACCUGCAGCUGGUCAUGCAUGUCUGGUACCUGAGGCCUCAGUAAAUGCUGAAAAUUUCAUUUAAAAACCAGAACACGUCUCAGGACAGAGGCUGCAGUGAAGGAGGUGGGACACAGAGGUACUCGCAUCCCGUGCCUUGGGCCCCUCACUCCAGGACGUUAGUAUCAUCCGCACUAAAAGAACAGUGCGUUCUGGCCAUUCUGGGACCUAAGCAGGGGCCAGCCAGACCUCAGCAUCCUUCACAUCUGUCCUGCUGGCCACGGUGUCUGGGGAGAGCUGUGCCACCCCCCUGCUCUGAUCACACCUACCUUCUCCGGGGGACUGGCUGGUGCCCAGAGUGGGAAAUGAAACAUGUCUUCAAUUGUUGA
rnacentral:lncRNA from 1 species